rnacentral:lncRNA from 1 species
GCGCAUGCCGUGCCAUGCUGCCGCCCGUCCUUGCCGACUUUCAAAGUUAGGGUCCUAACAGUUAUCCACUAGCACCCAAAGAUACAAGAAUGCAUAUUGGCAGCAAUUUACAACCCAUCAUCAAACAAUUUAAUAUAGCCUUUCAACAUUAACUCAAUUACAUGCCAAAAACUCAAUUACAGAACAAAACCCAAGAACAGAAAUCCGCAUACCAGAAUCUAGGGGGACAUCUUGCCGAGCCUGUGGUGAACGUCAGUUGGUUUGUCGACGAUUAAGACCAUCAAAGGCAUUUUUCCAUUAGCUGGCGUAGGAAGGGGGGUGACAUCGAUAAGUUACAUUAGAUAUGUGAUUAGUGAAAGUAUUGUCCCCUCUUCGCCUUUGUCCCCUCUUUCUGACUAAAGAAAGUUUAAUUCAUAGUGCAACAUUAAGAUUGCCUAGCCUCCCUAUAAACUAAGCAGUUUUCUAGGAUCAUUGUCCAAUCUACAACUUUCCCUGGCUAGGGAAGUGACUUUUUGGCAUGCUAAUGGGCUCAUACUAUAAUAAACAACUUUCCAUUGUCAUCUAACUUAAGCUUACAGUUCUAGAAACAUAAUAAGCGCCACUUAAAGCAACAUCAAACUCAACCAAAAUAAGCACCCAUUCAACAGUAAAAAGCAUCAUUUACUCAUAAUAACAACUAAUAAGUGUAGCUUCACUUACAGAUGGACCGCAUCAGAUGCACACUUAAAUCUAACAGAUAAAAAGGAAGUUAUUAAAACUUCAUUUGCUUUAUAUAUACAACAAACAAAGCCCACUUCUCAUAUAUAGUAAGAGAACGUCAAAUUAAGAAAUACCCAUAUUCUAAAAAAUGGAUCUUAAGAAUAAAUAGAAAUAAUUAAUACAUACCAGUGCCUCAGCAACCAUAGCUUCAAAAAUCUCAAGAAAGCAAAGUUAGAUUGGUCAAAAAAGAAGAAGAAAAGGUGGGUACUUUAGCUUCACUUCUCAAAAAAAAAGAAAACUUUGAGAAGUGAAAAAGCGAAAAGAAAAUAUACAGAGAAGGAGAUCUCAGAAUAGAAAAAAAUGGUGAAAUAUACACAGUAGUGUAAACAGGGAGGAAAAAAUGAACUGAAUGAAGGGAAAAUAUAAGAACAGAAGAACAGAGUGAAAGGGCAGAAAACUGUAGGGUUGUGUCUGGGGAAGGGGGUGGGGUAUGCCAUGUCGGAUAGGAUUUUAGAUUUUUCAAU